GCCUUCGUGGUGCAGUGGUCAGCACGCUCGAUGGCCAUUCAAGAUGUCCAUGGUUCAAGUCCCUGCAAAGGCG
rnacentral:tRNA from 1 species